GGUGGUGCUUUAUCGUCAUAAACUUUGUUUAAUAAUAGUACAUUACGAUACAAGUGCGAAAAACAGGAAAUUCGAUACGAGUGGCGAUAAAACACGAAUAAAGGGAGUGUUUUAAUCGUAAGGAGUUGCGAAUCGCCUAUUCGCACAUGUAUCGCACAACGUUUUACAGUACAUAUGGACUUUAAAAUUUUCGACAUAGUUACAAUACCUAUACAAUACAAUACUCUUUAUUGAACACCUCACAUAGUUGACAAUAAAUGUACAGAAACAAAGACAAUUUGAUAGAGGUAACAACAGGCGGUCUUAUCGCUUAAGAGCGAUCCCUUCCAGACAACCUUUGGGUAUCGGAGACAAUAAAAUUAGAAUAUACGGUCGGUGGCACAAAGAAAUUCAACAAAAUAAUAAUAAUAAUUAAAAGUCCAGUAGAAUAUAACCAAACAACACAAGACAUUAAUAUGAAUAAUAGAACAUUACGAUACAAGUGCGAAAAAUAGGAAAUUCGAAACGAGUGGCGAUAAAUUAAAACACGACCGAAGGGAGUGUUUUAAAUCGACACGAGUUGCGAAAUACCUAUUCGCACAUGUAUCGUACAAUGUUUUACAGUACAUAUGGCCCUUUACAUGUUCGACACAAUAACGUAAUAUGCUAAUUUUCACACUAGUGCUGUAAAGUAGCACCAUAUGUACUGUAAACAUACUUAAAUACGUCUUCUAUAUAGUUAUUUAAUAUGCUAAUUAUCGCACUAGUGCGUAACAGUAUGUCGAAAAUUUUAAGGGUCAUAUAUACUGUAAAACGAUGAACGAUACAUAUGCGAAUAGCUAAUUCGCAACUCGUGUUGAUUUAAAACACUGCCUUCGGUCGUGUUUUAAUUUAUCGCCACUCGUUACGAAUUUUCUAUUUUUCGCACUUGUAUUGUAAAUAACUAUUUUAUACCGAGUACAUAUCGAUCAUAGUUGACAUGCUUACUCGUAAACAUACCCUUGAGUACUAUCUGUUAGAGGAUAAAUAACUUCAAUACUUAUGCUUAUCAAGAAAUCUGAUAAAUUAUAUACAUAUUCAUAAAACAAUUAAAAAAUCUUCAAUAGUAUUCGGAAAAAAUAUUUCAAAAAUAUAUACCUAAAGACAAAAGGAAUACUAAGUAUCACCUUAAAAAACAUUUGCCUAUCUUUUUGGCAUGGUUUAAUCAUUUAGAGUCGAACACGUCAUAGUGGGCCCUGAUGCGGUAGCAUCGAUCAAAAUCAAAGUUAGUAAAAAGCACACUAUCGCUAUGCGUAGUUUAGACUGGCUAGUCGUGUCAGUUUACGCGCGAGCGCUGUCUGCAUGUGUGACCAGAAUUUAUUUAUACCUCGAAUAGCUUACAGUGAGAUUGAGCUCUUUGCCUGGGAAAAUCUGAGAAAUUUUACGCGGAACAUUUAGAAAAUACAAAUUAAGUAUCUAGUCGAGGAGUUCGACAUACCUAUUUAACACAUCUUAAAGCCAGAUUACAAUUCCGUCUACUUAAGUUCAUUUUCAAGUGAAAUUAUCAAGUUUAUGUCAAGGUAGGUUGAAAACGCUAUAAUUUAUAAAGAAAUAUUGUAUAUAUAACAGAUGUUCAUAAUAAGUAAAAGCCCAGUCUGUAAUUCUGUAUUACCAGGUCGUUGGUUUACAAACAUGUUCCGCGUGUGAUCGUGCAUAUUACGAGUAUGUGCCACAAAUUUGAUAACACGUAAGCGGAAUCCAGAGCGUUGUUGCAAAUUUCCUUUUCGUUUAGCAGGGUGAGAAUUCAACCUAGAGUCAUUUUUACGGUCAAACUAACCUAAAUUCUCCAAGAAUACUUACUAUAAACUGUAUCCAUAAGUUGAAGAAAACGUGAAACAAAUAAAGGGUUAAAAUAUUAUUUUAAAUGUUAGGGUUUAUAGAGUUUAUAAGGCCAGAUAAUAUAAGUUUAAGUAUAAGUUGGGCUGUUAGAGCUUUUAAUAAGAAGUAUGAUUUUGUGCAUAAAUAAAUCUGCCACGAGCCUACCGUUUUGUUCAACUCUUUUUAUUUGUUAAAUAUGUACUUCAAUUGGCCCUUGAUCUGUUUAAUUAAAUUUGUUCGCUUUAAUUCGCCCAAUCAAUGUUUACAUUUACGUUAUGUCUACAUCUGCCAUUAUAUGUUAAAAUAAAGAAUCGUAACGAUUAUUUAAUAAUAAGAAUUUUGGCUUUAGAAAUCUUUAGAUCUAUGUCAACCAUUGGUCUCUUCAUCAAGACGAUUUUAACGGUUAGCAACUCAAUUGAGUUCAAUAAAAAGAUGUUAUGACCACCUCCCGGUUUAAGCAUCAGACAACUUAAUUUAGCUUAUCAAUCAAUAGCUCAGUCACAAAAAACUUGAUCGUCAAUUUCAUAAAUAGAAAACAUUACGUUACUGAAAUUGUAACUUUUUGGUGAAUACCUAUCUAAAAUUAUAGUACAACUAGUACUAGUAGUGUAGUAGUAGUGGUAUUAGUUAGUGUAGUACUUUAAUGUAAAAGAAAAAACCGGCCAAGAGCAUGUCUGGCCACGCUCAGUGUAGGGUUCCGUAGUUACUCUUCCGUCACAAUAAGCUAAACUGGAGCUUAAAGUAUAGUAAAUUGUUAACCAAGGGAUGAAACGGUACCUUUCACCUGAGUUAAACAAAUAGGCAAAUUUGCAUAAUCAGUACCUAAUUAAAAUAAGUCUUUUUACUAUAAAGGGAAAACUUUUUGCGAUAACUCAAAAACAGCUAAACUGAUCAUGUCCGCUAUAGUUUUCAUUUAAUCUCUUUCUUAAGCUCUACUUCCACGAUUUUUUUCAUAUUUUUUGGACCUAUGGUUCAAAAGUUAGAGGGGGGGGACACAUAUUUUUUUCUUUCGGAGCGAUUAUCUCCGAAUAUAUUCACUUUAUCAAAAAAUGUUUCUUGAAAACCCCUAUUAGUUUUGAAAGACCUUUCCAACGAUACCCCACACUCUAGGGUUGAAGCCAAAAAAAAAUUUCACCCCCGCUUUACGUGUAGGGGAGGUACCCUAAAAAAAUUAAAUUUUUAGAUUUUAUUGUACGACUUUGUCGGCUUUAUUGAUUUAUAUAUCCAUGCCAAAUUUCAGCUUUCUAGCACUAACGACCACGGAGCAAAGCCUCGGACAGACAGACAGACAGACAGACAGACAGACAGACGGACAUGGCGAAACUAUAAGGGUUCCGUUUUAUGCCAUUUGGCUACGGAACCCUAAAAAAUCAUCGAAUAUUUCAAUUGGGCUCAUGUUACAGGACCUACCUCUUAUAAAUAGCCUAGUAUAUUUUAUAACAAGUAGAUCUUGAGAGCUUAACUGCAGUAAAUCAAUUUAGCAACACGAUACAAGGCGUGAGUCUCAUCACGUGUCACAUCGGCAUCGCCAUGGCUCACCCACUAUUUCAUUGUGUAUAGAUUUCUAGAUCAUUUUUUGCAUCACACACGUCAAAGCUUUAUUUGAGCUGAUUUGACCGUACGGAUUGGAAUCAUGUCGGACACUUUCACUUACUGUACUGAUCGCUUUGGGUGGUAAACCAAUUAGCAGUAAUAGAAAAUGCGUUCAAAAUUAAUAAUUACACUUCUUUAUUUCACUGUAUCUAAUGGUUAUUGAUGAGAUAGGAUGUAGUUUGUUUCUGAAUUAGAAUCCAUUCAAUCCAAAAAGGUGUGCCUUGAAGGUAGAUUUUGCGAAUGUAUUUUUUUUUAAUGGAGGUCGCAAAUUUAUUUUACACUAAAAUGGUUCCCUGCCGUUUUCAGUAUUUUAGUAAUCUAAUCGGUGUAGGUAAUUGCUUUAUUUACCUACUUUAUUUAUUACACGGUUUCAGAUCUAAGAAAUAGGUAAGUACCUAUCGUAAACAUUUUGCCAAAUCAGUAACAAAAUUCAAGUAGUAUGUACGUACACAAUUCUAUAUUUUGACUGUAUAAUUAUUACCGUUAAUUAAUGGCCGGCUUUGUGAUUACAAAGGCAGGAUGGUCUCACGGAUCUGGGUCUCGAAGACUCGCCACUCAUUGCUAUUGUCGAUGCGGCGUUGCCUCGCUCCUUCUUAAAAUUACUUGCAUACCGUAUUUAUUUAGAAUACGUUUAUCGAGCUGGAUUCGCAUUGCACAUGACCUAAAUCAAUUUAAUUACAUUACGACACAUGUUGCUGUUUUCCGAUGUUAUCUACUCGUUGAAUUAUAAGCAUCAGUCAUUCGUGUUAUCAAGCCGAGGUGGAAAUAUAUUUACGUGCAGUUCACGGACUAAAUAAAUAAAAUAAAUAAUAAGAGUGAAGAUUUCAGUAAAUGUGUCGUCGCAUGUGCGGUUACAGAAAGUGCUGGAAUUUAAGAAAAGUGCACAUGUGCACCAAAUUCUGGGAGAAUUCAAGGAAUGGUGUGACAGUUCCAACACGUCGUCACCGUAUAACACUGUCAAUGUGUCAAUGUGACAGUUUGAGGUUGUCGGAUAGCGCGGGCCGCGCGGCCGGCGCGUCGCGAGCAUCGCGACGUGAUCCCGGCGCGCCGCCAUCGACACCCGUGAGACGUGCCUCUAUUGUUGCCUCCUGCAGAUAAUUAGUUAGCUGUUACUGUACUUUAUAUCUAAGCGAUUGGUUCAGUCGACAAUGUAAGCGCUACAUAUGUUUAAAUUGGAUUAAAAAAGCAAAUUUAGUAUUUGGUGGAUGAAAUCAGGACGGAUGGCCAAGAAUGUAAUAAAGAAUAUGUAUAUUGUAUAUGAUGAUUAUAUUGAUUAUCUAUUAUUAAAGUGGUAAGUAAGUAAUAUGUAAUAAGUAAAUAUUCUUUAUUGUGCAUCAUAUAGUUAAAAACACACAGAAAAUGAAAUACAAUUAAAAGCUAAGCAA